AGAGUAGCGCACGGGUGCGUAACGCGUAUGCAACCUACCUUUAACCGGGAUUCAACCAUGAGAAAUUGUGGCUAAUAUCCCAUAACACUGCGAUGUGGCAUCACAAUGCAGUUAAAGCUCCGGCGGUUAUAGAUGGGCAUGCGUGACAUUAGCUAGUUGGUGAGGUAACGGCUCACCAAUGCUACGAUGUCUAGGGGUUCUGAGAGGAUUAUCCCCCACACUGGUACUGAGACACUGACCAGACUCCUACGGGAGGCAGCAGUAACGAAUAUUGGGCAAUGGACGCAAGUCUGACCCAGCCAUGCCGCGUGAAGGAUGAAGGCCCUAUGGGUUGUAAACUUCUUUUAUACGGGAAAAAACCACCGGUCGUGUAUCGGUGCUGAUGGUACCGUAAGAAUAAGCAUCGGCUAACU
rnacentral:rRNA from 1 species